ACUUGUUUAGCUCAGUUGGUAGAGCACAAGGCUUUUAAUCUUGUGGUCAUGGGUUCAACCCCACGAUGGCCA
rnacentral:tRNA from 7 species